ACUUCAGAAUCUCCAAGUUCAAGAUGGAGAUCAAUCGGAAGCUCAAGGCCUUGUUUGUGCGAGAAAUCAGAGGCGAGCGGGAAAGGGCGUAAGAUUGAGGAAAUUUUUUGGCAUCGGUGACUUGGAAGAUGAACACCGAUUCUCCAUUUUCCAAGUCCACCCAUGCCCGCUGAUUUUCUAAUCUCUUCCCCCUUUCCCUUCACCCUCACCACAUCCGCAGAUCCGUUUGCCAUGGAUGUUGGUCUGAGGGUUUUCUUGAAGAUCUCCUGCCCUCCAGAAGGCAAAGAUUAGAAGAAGAUUAUUGUUCACCAUUUUUUUGGUUGAUUGUCUCAUCGUCUAGUAAGGAUACAAUCUCCGUAGCUAAUGACAGCAGCACCAACCUAUGAAACUCUUUUUAGGUAAUCUAAAGGUAGGUUUGAUUGGUUCAAGAUCUUAAAAUAAGUUGUGUAAAACAAGAAUUUUAUGGUAUCCAGAUAAUGUGUUGGGUUCAAAGUUUUUGUUCUGCUCUAUUUUAUUAUUAGGUUCUUUUUGAGUAAACGUCAAGUCUAUUGUGUCAAUAAAAGUGGGUUCCUUUUUGUGGGAUUUGGAGGGAAUGAAUUGUUUUUUUAUUUUUGGGUCAAAUAUGAGGAGGUGAUAAUUCGAAUUCACAACCUUUUGAUUGGAAAUAGAUAUUCUCGAGCUAUGCUUGGUUUGGUUUGAA